UGAGACGUGAUCGUCAUCAGGGCCAU
rnacentral:piRNA from 1 species